rnacentral:lncRNA from 1 species
CUAAGUAGAUUUUGGCUUUCAAUUCUCUAAUUUUCUUUCGUGUCUGGAGAAAAGAAAAGUUUGUUACUUCUGUUAAAUUUAACACUUAAUAUAAAUAUUUUAUUAUGCUAAAUACAAUACUGUAAUGUUUUAUAAUACAAACAUAUACAAGACAGUGGUUAUGAUUUUCUGUUUGUUUAUUAAGAAAAUUAUGGUAUUGUCGUAUGGCAAACUGAGUAUGAUAUAUACAAUGUUUUAUUUACUAUACUGAUGUUAAUUGUAUUUUAAAAUUAUAAAACCUUUAAAUUAAUAUCUAUUUGUAUACUUAUAUAUCUUUGUAUAGAUGAUGAAGCACAUACAUAUGAAGGUAUAUCAAUACAUUCUUAACUGCAAAUUGUAAUGUAAAUAAUACGCCAAAGGAGAAUAAAAUUAGAAUUUGGAUUGAGUCCUUACUUUUGAAAAAAAAAUGUUCUUAGUAACUGUUGUUGUUUAUUCCCCUGUGUUUUUACAGUUUUGUGACACUUUCAUCUUUAGAUAUUUGCAACUUAUCCCUUGUCUUCUUUAACCAUUCCUGAUGUUGCCUUCCCUAAAUUAAGCUUCAAAUUCAGAAGAAAAACCUGUUAUGAUGUUUUUUAUACCUAAAGUAUAGUUCAGUUUCUUAAAAUGACCAUUAAAUAACACAAAGAGCUGCUCCAUCACCCUAUAAAAGAAGGGAAAAUAGAAAUAAGUUAGGUUUGUUUAAAACUCUUCAAAUUUUAAUUCAAAAUUUGUAUGAGCAGUCUUUUGUUCACCAAACACCUGACAGACACUAAAAAAAACACCGGACACUAAAAAAAGAGUUUAUCUUCUUAGGCAAAUUAUAGUUACGUACAUAUGUUAAUACCAAUAUAUUUCGGCUUGUCUGAAGAUAAUGACUUAUCUCAACUGAUUAUUCACAGUUACAGAUGAAACUCCUUGUUUUAC